GCAUUUUGGGGAUAGUGGAAACUCAAGAAAGAGGCAGCCAGGUUUCUGGUAGUCAUGGAGAUGUCAUACCAGCCUGAAUUGCCUGUGUUUAUUGCAUGUGAGAAAGAGGAAGACUUUUACCUUAUUUGCCUUAUUAUUACCUAAACAUUUGCCUUACUUAAGCCAUUGAUAUUUGAGGAAGUCUGUCCCUUGCGACUGAAACUAAUCCUAACACAAAAGGAAACAGAGGCUCAGAGAAGCUAAGACAUUUGCACAGGACCACAGCUGGGCUGAGAAGAAAAAUUGAAUACUGAUGAGAAAGAAGAUGGAUAGAAGAGAGAGACAUGCAACUGGGACUCUAACAGAAAUGCCAUUCUCCCUGGGAAGGGACUAGCCCAGUCAGCAGCCACCUCACUCCAUGAGUUGGUUCUGAGGCACCCUCUGUGCCAGGCAGCUCGGGACACAAGGUGAAUUAGAUCCAACCUCACAGCCAUGUGAGGCAGACAGAGUGACACAGACUCUGUCACCAGAAGAGCAAGCAUUUGAACGGGCUGUCAGAUGGAGAGCCCAAGCACUUUCUGCUCUAGGUUCCCUCCCUCUGCUGCAGUUGGGAGAGGCUGGGCUGGGAAGCCCACAUGAGCCGUUGCAGCUCCCUGCAAGGGACUCUCACCUCCUCUCUCAGGCCUCCUCUCCCUGGGCUCCUGGCCUGGCCCUUCACACCUUUCUCCAACUCCAUCAUGACUGCAGGCUUUGGCCUUCCCUCAGGAAAAGAACGAAUUUUUCUCCACAAAAUUCUAUAAUCUCUUCCAGCCUCUCCUUUUAGCUACUGUCAUAUCCAUUCACCUAAGUGAUAACAGAAGACCACAAGUCAGAUGACUCAUAUAUUCACCUAUUCAAUAAACACUCCAGAGCAUU
rnacentral:lncRNA from 1 species